rnacentral:rRNA from 1 species
UACAGAGGUCUCAAGCGUUGUUCGGAUUCAUUGGGCGUAAAGGGUGCGUAGGCGGCAUGGUAAGUCGGAUGUGAAAUCCCGGGGCUUAACCCCGGAACUGCAUUCGAUACUGCUGAGCUAGAGUACUGGAGAGGAGAUUGGAAUUUACGGUGUAGCAGUGAAAUGCGUAGAUAUCGUAAGGAAGACCAGUGGCGAAGGCGGAUCUCUGGACAGGUACUGACACUGAGGCACGAAGGCCAGGGGAGCAAACGGG